rnacentral:rRNA from 1 species
CUGAACUCAUUCCCAUAGGCAGGUAACAUGAUUAAAAAGUUUCAGGGCAAUAUAUUAGGGGAAAAAAAGAGAGGCCAGAAUUAGAAACGACCCAAAGAAGAGCAAGCAAGAGAAUAAAACUCCAGCCCGCCCAACAACGACACAGCGUCGUAUACGGCAAAAAACAGUACUGGGACGACGCGGGCCUUCUAUUUUUGCGAGUUUUCACAGCUCGCGGCCGACCCAGGUCCACGUUCUGCGCAGGGCACGGGACGGCAGUACCAAAACAAGUGCAACUGUGCGUACUCGCGGAGCAAUGCGGGCACAGUCUGAGGGCCUGAACCAUGCCGGAGAAAAUCAGAAAAGUUAAGACGCACUGCGCCCCUGGGAGAAGAGAGGGAAAAGUAAAGACGCACUGCACUCGCUCGGAAAAUUGGAAAGAUCCUGGACGGACUUGGACUGCUUCCUUUUUGCAUAGAAAGCCAAGUCACUCCACUCAUCCUCUCCCGAGAGUCUGAGACGGACCUCGCCACUGCCAUUGCGCUCCACUUGGACUAGGAACAUCAGCUGGCGUGGUUGGACCUUGGAGCUGGAGGAGAGAGAUGGGGGCGCGGAGGAUGCCAUGCGCAUGCGGCUGGAGACUGCUCUUCUUCCUUGGGCUGCUUGCCGAGGUCCAUGGCUCUUCGUCUCCAGGGGUUGAUGCCCUCCCUCCUACCUCUAGGCUCUUCCCUGCUGAAGGUACGUGUGCUCAGCACCUGCAAAUGCAUUGCUCCAUCUCUGCCAUCGGGCGAUUCCCCUCCCCUCUCCUCCGCGUUCGGCUCGCUGGUUUAGAAAGAGAGAUGACUGUGAUAAGCAGAGCAUGUCUUUUGCUUCCCAGGCUUAAUUUGCCUGCUCUUUUCUCCUCAUCCUUCCCUUUUUUCGUCCCUUUGCUUCUCCCAUUUUGGUCUUCUUUGCUUGGGACUGUUAGAUGAGUUCUGCAAAAAGAACGAAUCACUGCCUCACUUUAGUUCAAGAAUACAUGCAAAAAAAUCUCUAAACAACAGAGGAAGAUCGAGAAUCUUGGAUAUCUUUUCUUCCAAAGGAAUGCAAACCCUGUAGCAACAAGUACUGUAGGCUACUGCUUUGCUGUGUGCUUCCUUCCUCCGCGUACAAGUGGAUGUAAAUGUAAUGGAGAAGAAGGAUGUGCUCAAGCCGUGUUCAUGAUUCUUUUCUUUCCUUUUUGCAAUUCUUGCAGUGCGCACUCUUCGCCGGAUCGCGGUGAAUAUGGGAAUAUCGCAUUGGAACUUCUCCGCCAAUCCGUGUGGCUCCGGCGGCGGCUUGGAGUGUGACUGCUCCUUCGACAACAAUACCAUGUGCCAUGCCACUGAGAUAUUCCUCAGGGGCCAGAACUUCACCGGCCAGCUCCCACCAGAUUUUGCUGAUCUCCCUAAUCUCCUCCAGCUAGACCUAAGCAGGAGCUUGUUCCAUGGCACGGUGCCUGACCGGUGGGCCCGGAUGAAGUUGCAAGGACUGUCACUAAUGGGAAACAGAUUGUCAGGGCCUUUUCCCAUGGCUCUUACGAGAAUCACAACCUUGACUAACCUGAGCAUUGAAGCAAAUGAGUUCCGUGGGCAAAUCCCAGCUGAAAUUGGGCAUCUCACGCAACUGGAGAAGCUGAUAAUAUCAACCAACGAGUUCACUGGACCCCUGCCGGCUGCUCUUUCCUUGCUGACCAAUUUGACCGACUUAAGGAUUUCUGGAAACAAUUUAUCUGGGAGAGUUCCUGAUUUCUUGGCUAAACUGACAAAGCUUGGAAAACUGCAAAUCGAAGGAUCUUUGCUGGAAGGGCCUAUUCCCCCGGGCUUAUCCAAAUUGACAAACCUUUCUGAUCUGAGAAUUAGUGAUCUGAGAGGCAGUGGAUCAGUUUUCCCGGAUCUAAGAGGAAUGCAAUCGAUGAAAGCAUUGGUCCUUAGGAAUUGUUCAAUCAGCGGAGGAAUCCCUUCUUACAUAUGGAGCAUGGAAAAUCUCACGCAUCUGGAUCUGAGCUUUAAUGAACUGACCGGAAAAGUAACAGAUUCGUUCACUAAUAGGGGAACCGUAGAUUACAUAUAUCUAACUGGAAAUUCACUCACUGGGAACAUACCUGAUUGGCUAUUGCGAAGCAACAGCAUUGUGGACCUCUCUUUUAAUAAUUUCACGAUUGGGAGCUCAGGUCGUCCUACUCAAUGUCAAGGGAGCGCCAAUCUAGUGGAGAGUUAUUCACCUGAAAUGAACAGUUUAAAUAAUGUCCAGCCAUGCUUGAAGAAGAACUUCCCAUGUGCUUCGAAUGGACAAUACAGAUCGUCCUUGCAUAUCAAUUGUGGAGACAAAGAAGCAAUUGUCAAUGGCGUAAAAUAUGAAGGUGACACCACACCAAAAGGUGCUUCCAUGUUGUAUGUAAGCCCAGACUCAAACUGGGCAUUCAGCAGCACUGGGAACUUCAUGGACGACAACAUCAAUGAUGACAACUACAUUGCGUCAAGCACAUCAAAACUGACCAUGCCCAACUCCAAGCUGUAUGCAAAAGCGCGCCUUUCUCCUCUUUCGCUCACAUAUUAUGGGCUUUGUAUGCAUAAUGGGAGCUACACAGUUAAACUCCAUUUUGCCGAAAUUAUAUUCACCAAUGACAGCACAUACCGCAGCCUUGGCAAAAGAAAAUUCAAUGUGUUCAUACAGGGAAGAAUGGUGCUAGAGGAUUUUGAUAUUGAGCAAUCUGCUGGUGGGGCUGGAAAGCUAGUCAUCAAGACUUUCACAGCAUAUGUCACAAAUCAUACACUGAAGAUUCAAUUCUAUUGGGCAGGAAGAGGGACAACAGGCAUUCCAUAUAGAGGAUUUUAUGGCCCUCUAAUAUCUGCAAUAUCAGUAACUCCAAACUUCCAGAUUCCUUUGGCUGUUGAACCUCCCCAAACUGGGAGUAGAACGAAAAUUUCAAGGACAUCUAAAGCUUUGCUGAUUGGAGGCCCAAUUAUUGCGAUAUUCACUGCUCUUGUUGUUGGUAUCUGGAUUAAGCGACGACGGAAGAACUUGGUGAAUCAAGAUCUCCGGGCACUUGACCUCCAAAUUGGCUCAUUUACCUUGAGACAAAUCAAAGCAGCAACGAGAAACUUUGAUCCAGCCAACAAGAUUGGCGAAGGUGGUUUUGGUUCGGUUUACAAGGGUUUGUUGUCCGAUGGCACCAUUAUUGCUGUCAAACAGCUAUCAUCAAAGUCCAAGCAAGGGAAUCGUGAAUUUGUGAAUGAGAUUGGCAUGAUAUCUGCACUCCAGCAUCCAAACCUUGUCAGGCUGUAUGGCUGUUGUACAGAAGGAAACCAGCUCUUGCUAGUUUACGAGUACAUGGAAAAUAAUUGCCUUGCACGUGCUCUCUUUGUUGAAGAAUAUAGACUGGCAUUGGAUUGGCCAACGAGACGUAAGAUUUGCCUGGGAAUAGCAAGGGGUCUGGCAUAUCUGCAUGAGGAGUCUGCAAUAAGGAUUGUGCACCGAGAUAUCAAGGCUAGCAAUAUACUGCUUGACAAAGAUUUGGAUGCUAAGAUCUCAGAUUUUGGUCUAGCAAAGCUUAAUGAAGAUGGUCACACCCACAUAAGCACAAAAGUAGCUGGAACAAUUGGAUACAUGGCUCCUGAGUAUGCAAUGCGUGGUUAUUUGACAGACAAAGCUGAUGUUUACAGUUUUGGGGUUGUUGCUUUGGAAAUCGUGAGUGGAAAAAGCAACACAAACUACAGGCCAAAGGAAGAUUUUGUUUAUCUUCUCGAUUGGGCUUGUGUUUUACAUGAGAGAGGAACUCUCCUGGAGCUGGUAGAUCCAGACUUAGGAUCCAAUUACUCAACAGAAGAGGCACUCCUCAUGCUGAAUGUGGCUCUCUUAUGCACCAACGCAGCACCGACACUUAGACCAAAGAUGUCCAACGCGGUGAGCCUGCUCGAGGGCCAUACCCCCCUGCAACCCUUCCUAUCAGAACUCAGCCUUGCUGCAAACAGCCUGAGCUCAAGUGGUCUACGCAGAAACUUCUGGGAAAAUCCAAGUGAGAGCCAGAGCAUAACGGCACAAGUAUCAUGUAACAACACCAGUGACUCGUCAUCUUUAGAUGUUGAUGGUAGCUUGAGACAUUUUGCGACUUAAAUGUUAGAUGUAUUUCAGAUCUGUACACCUGUAAGAACCACUAGGGCUAGGCCACUAUGUCUAUUCUGGCAGUAAAAUGUAGCUACUAACAUAAAAAUGCCUAAUUCUACUAAGAAUGCAAAGUACUCUCUGCUUCAGAACUGCUGGAAGGAUAAGAUUAUUAAGAUUCUGACAAAACACUAUCUCUAAUCUAAACUCGGACGGUCUAAUGUUGCUUUUGCUUCAAAAAGGGUAAACUACAAAAUCACCAUCUACUAUUUCGUUUGAUAUCGCAAAUUAAGUCUAUUGUAUAUAACGAUAUGUUUAUAUAUUACACCCUCUGUUCAUUAGUAUAAGACCUUUUGGCAGUUU